GGAAAUAUGCCUGAACUUCAAGGACUACUUUGAUAGAGUACGCUAC
rnacentral:tRNA from 1 species